UCUGUUUGAUCCCGGCAGAGGUUACUGCUAUCGAGGUUCGACUAAGCCAUGCGAGUCGAAUGUAGCAAUACAUGGCGUACUGCUCAGUAACACGUGGACAACCUACCCUUAGGUCGGGGAUAAACCCGGGAAACUGGGUAUAAUACCCGAUAGAUCUCGACUGCUGGAAUGCAUCGAGAUCGAAAGCUCCGGCGCCUAAGGAUGGGUCUGCGGCCUAUCAGGUAGUAGUGGGUGUAGCGUACCUACUAGCCUACGACGGGUACGGGUUGUGAGAGCAAGAGCCCGGAGAUGGAUUCUGAGACACGAAUCCAGGCCCUACGGGGUGCAGCAGGCGCGAAAACUUUACAAUGCUGGAAACAGCGAUAAGGGGACCUCGAGUGCCAGGUUACAAAUCUGGCUGUCGUGAUGCCUAAAAAGCAUUGCAUAGCAAGGGCCGGGCAAGACCGGUGCCAGCCGCCGCGGUAACACCGGCGGCUCGAGUGGUAACCGUUAUUAUUGGGUCUAAAGGGUCUGUAGCCGGCCGGAUAAGUCUCUUGGGAAAUCCAGCAGCUCAACUGUUGGGCUUUCAGGAGAUACUGUCUGGCUCGAGGCCGGGAGAGGUGAGAGGUACUUCAGGGGUAGGGGUGAAAUCUUGUAAUCCUUGAAGGACCACCGGUGGCGAAGGCGUCUCACCAGAACGGACCUGACGGCAAGGGACGAAAGCUAGGGGCACGAACCGGAUUAGAUACCCGGGUAGUCCUAGCCGUAAACGAUACUCGCUAGGUGUCGGCCACGGUGCGACCGUUGUCGGUGCCGUAGGGAAGCCGUGAAGCGAGCCACCUGGGAAGUACGGCCGCAAGGCUGAAACUUAAAGGAAUUGGCGGGGGAGCACCACAACGGGUGGAGCUUGCGGUUUAAUUGGAUUCAACGCCGGAAAUCUUACCGGGACCGACAGCAAUAUGAAGGCCAGGCUGAAGACUUUGCCGGAUUAGCUGAGAGGUGGUGCAUGGCCGUCGUCAGUUCGUACUGUGAAGCAUCCUGUUAAGUCAGGCAACGAGCGAGACCCA
rnacentral:rRNA from 1 species